GAGAUCAUCCACUUUAUUUUUUUCAAAUGUUAAUUAAGAGAGAGAGAUCAUUCACUUUAUUUUUCCCAAGUGCUAGUUACCAUAGUUAGCAGAACAUUCAUUCAAUCAAUUUUUUGUGAAUAAAACUUUUGUCCUGGUGUGACAGCCCAUUUGCAUGAGGAAAUUCGUGGUGUUUCGUGUCUCAUUCCAUCUAAAUCUACCUAAUUUCUUUACUUCAAUAAAAACAAACAAAAUAAGAAACAGAAAUUAAUAACCACUCUUUAUUAUUUUGAGGCCUGGUUUUCCUCUUCCCUUUCUCAUUUUGACUCACCAUCACAAUCUCACUUCUCUUUUGAUCAAACCAACCUUCAAUUUUUCUCUCAAAUCACAGUGGAUUGAGUGUAUCACUAACUGCAAUUUCCCUUUUUCUUUUUAUUGUUUUUGAAGUUGACUGUUAUUUAUCUCAUCCUUUUUCUCUUUUCCAGAUUUAGAAGAUAUUUUGGGGAAAAUCAGAAUCAGAAGAACAUUGAACAUAUACAGGGUGACACAAUGGAAUCGAUGGAGCUGUCGUCUCGCACCAUCCUUCAGUUACAAGGUACUGUAUCUUCAUCUACGACUCUCUCCAGACUUUGGACUUGAGGACCAACAUUACAAGGUAUAAUUGCCCCUCUCUACAGAGGCACCACGCACCAUUCCAUAUUUUCAAGGCAUAGCAUCUACAAAGUACCAACGUUACAUAGGCAGUUCCAUGCAUUUCGGAAGCCAAAUGGUACAAUAAUCAACUAUUGAGUGUCUUUUCAAUUAAAAUAUGUAGAAAGAGAAAGAGGAAGAGAGAGAGGAGGAGAAUUGUUUAUGGCCAAUUAAACUGUUCAUUGAUUAUGUCGCAAAAGGUUGAGACAAGUGGAUAAUGACCAAAAUGUUAAUAUU